CCUCCCAGGUUCACGCUAUUCUCCUGCCUCAGCCUCCCGAGUAGCUGGGACUACAGGCGCCUGCUACCACGCCCAGCUAAUUUUUUUGUAUUUUUAGUAGAGACAGGGUUUCAUUGUGUUAGCCAGGAUGGUCUCGAUCUCCUGACCUCAUGAUCCUCCUGCCUCGGCCUCCCAAAGUGCUGGGAUUACAGGCGUGAGCCAC
rnacentral:lncRNA from 1 species